rnacentral:rRNA from 1 species
AUUCCAGCUCCAAUAGCGUAUUCUAAAGUUGUUGCAGUUAAAAAGCUCGUAGUUGGAUUUCUGUUUUGGAGAAUGGGUCGUGCCUAGACAGGUUCUGUACUUUUUUCUCCGGAACAUCCUCGGAGUGAGCGUGUCUGCAAUUCAUUUUGUGGGCUCGGGACCUUCGUCAUUUACUGUGAGCAAAAUAGAGUGUUCAAAGCAGGCUUACGCCUUGAAUAUACUAGCAUGGAAUAAUAAGAUAGGACUUUGGUCUAUUUUGUUGGUUUACUUUCCAAAGUAAUGAUUAAUAGGGAUAGUUGGGGGUAUUCGUAUUCAAUUGUCAGAGGUGAAAUUCUUGGAUUUAUGGAAGACGAACUACUGCGAAAGCAUUUACCAAGGAUGUUUUCAUUC